rnacentral:rRNA from 1 species
AUGAUGUACCGGGUGUGGCUGGGCAUGCUCUUCUACUCCGCCAGCAUGUGCAGGGGCUACCUGCACGCUAAGAGCUUGGGUGAAGGUGGUGAGUUCCUCUCCUACGUCUGGCUCGUCCUCUCGCUCAAGGGUGCCAAGACCCUGGCCGACAAGCUUCAGAUGCUGCAGGGAGACGACGAGGAACCAACACUGACCGAUAAGCCUCAGAUUCUGGAGGGAUCAGAGACGACGAGGAACCAACACCCUGAUCAAGGCCCACAACUUGCUGGUUUCGAAACCCCCCAUCCAGAUCCUUUAAUUGGACCGCCGAUGCCAUGA